UACGUAGGGUGCAGGCGUUAAUCGGAAUUACUGGGCGUAAAGCGUGCGCAGGCGGUCUUUUAAGUCAGAUGUGAAAUCCCCGGGCUUAACCUGGGAACUGCGUUUGAAACUGGAAGGCUUGAGUGUGGCAGAGGGGGGUGGAAUUCCACGUGUAGCAGUGAAAUGCGUAGAGAUGUGGAGGAACACCGGUGGCGAAGGCGGCUUCCUGGCCCGUAACUGACGCUGAGGCGCGAAAGCGUGGGGAGCAAACAGG
rnacentral:rRNA from 1 species